CCUACGGGAGGCAGCAGUGAGGAAUUUUCCGCAAUGGGCGAAAGCCUGACGGAGCAAUACCGCGUGAGGGAUGAAGGAUUUUGGUCUGUAAACCUCUUUCCUCAAGAAAGAAGUUCUGACGGUACUUGAGGAAUAAGCAUCGGCUAACUCCGUGCCAGCAGCCGCGGUAAUACGGGGGAUGCAAGCGUUAUCCGGAAUGAUUGGGCGUAAAGCGCCUGUAGGUUGUUUAUUAAGUCCGUUGUUAAAGCCUAGGGCUCAACCCUAGAAAAGCAAUGGAGACUAGUAGACUAGAGUAUGGCAGGGGUAGAGGGAAUUUCUAGUGUAGCGGUGAAAUGCGUAGAUAUUAGAAAGAACACCGGUGGCGAAAGCGCUCUACUGGACCAUUACUGACACUCAGAGGCGAAAGCUAGGGUAGCAAAAGGGACUAGAUACCCCUGUAGUCCUAGCCGUAAACGAUGGAUACUAGAUGUUGUGUCAUAUAGUACUAGUACGUACGUACUACGUACGUUAACGUAUACCGUCCGUCGGGUAGGUACGUCGUCGCGAGGUAGGAACGUACAAACGAAAGUUAGUACGGACGUGAGACGNGCCGACGGACGACGACGAGGGAGGUAGG
rnacentral:rRNA from 1 species